GGCUGCGUUCAAGAUCGUAGCGGCUACGUAGGGCUCGGUAGCGCUACGAUCUUGAACGAUGUGCUAGGUUAGCCCCUACAUAGGGAAAGAUAGCAUAAAAAUUUGGUGCUAGAUUCUAAAGCAAAAUGGCGGAAAAAUGAGAAUGAUUUUAGCUUAUAUGAACGAUAAUAAUCGGAACAAGUAAUAUCUUUCCGGAAUACGUCACCUCGAUUGGUUUAUUCUACUACUAGAAGUUGUUUACGGGAUUCGAUAAGGCGAGACAAGAAGGUAAUUGUACAUGUAAUCAAGGUCGACAAGGCAUUUGUGUGAUGGAACUGAAGCCCUUCCUGUUGAUAAAUCUACAGAUAGGUCUUCCAUUGCCUUUACCUCCAAUGGGAAUAUGGCGUUCAUUGAUGCAACUUGAUUCAUGGACAACCAUGUUGAUCUUGAAACUUUUAUGCAAGUGUUCUCAUCCAAGACCUUUGUCACAAAAAUCAACUAUUUUCCAACUGAAUCAGAUUCUUGAAUGAUCAAUUUCCAUUGAGGAUGAAGGAUGAAUGAGAAAUCUGUAAAUGAUAUUUUGAUUCAAAUUAAGUUAUAUUUUAUAUAUACAUGCAAUGGUUCUGAAACAUGCUUGCUACCCAAUCUCACAUGUAUUAAAAAUUAUGCAUGCUGCAUAAGCAGUAUCUAUUGCAUUAGAUUAAAAUAAAACUUUAUGAUAUAAAGAAUUUAAAAAAAUAAAAUUAAUAUGACAGCUGGUUUUGAUUUGUUUUGUUUUGAGCUCAGCCUAGCUUUUAAAAUUCUGAUCAUCUUUUGCCUGCCGUCUGUCCAUCAGCUUAAAUUCUCCAAAACCACUGGGCCAAUUUCAAUCAAGCUUGGUACAAAUCAUCCUUGGGUGAAGGGUAUUUAAGUUUGUUCAAAUAAAGGGUCAUGCCCCCUUCUAAGGAGUCUCAGAGAUAAUCAUGAGAAGGUAAAACUAGGGUGGGGUCAUUUAAUAAUCUUUUUUUAAGAACUACAGGACUAGAAAAGUGGAAAUUUACAUGAAAUCUUCCCGACAUAGUGCAGACAUAUUAAAUACAUGCAUAUAAGUAUAUGGAACUAUUUUAGCGAGGGCUUUCAAUUUCAUAUUUUGUAUAUAGAUUCUUUAUGGCAAGACCUUUUUAUACCUUGGUGUAUGACCUUGAAAUUUUAUGGCAAGGUCUUUCAUUUCAUAUCAUAAUCUCUGACCCUGUGACUUUGGUCUUAUCCAGAACAGCAAGAUCAUGUUAGUCAUAUUGAUGUUGAGGCAUACUAAGUAUCUGUGUUGUGUGAAUUUAUUUUCAGUAUGUUGUGAUUGAGGUCAAAAUUUUUCUUCACAACUGCUGAAUAACGGCACGGCCAAGGUGACUUGUGUAAGCGAUGCAGCCCAUGGGUCUCUUGCUUUCCUUGCAUGUAUACCAGGCAAAGAUGUUUGAGAAAUAAAUUUUUGCAAUAGAAAAAGUGGGCAACUGUAAGAGAAUUUGUCACUAAUGCUUGACAAGAAAACUGAUGGCGUCUCUAGAGAUCUAAAAGUAUACAAUGUAUAUACAAACUGAACACUAAAAUUUGUUAUAUCAUGUAUUAGAAAAUACUUGGAGAAAUAGUACAUGCCUGCUUGUAUGUAUUUGGGGUUGUUUUUUUUUAUUAUUAUUGUUAUUGCAAGUUAUGUACAUCUCGUGCACUGAAAAAUGAUUGUAUUGGGGAUGGGGGUUAUUGAUUGUAUCAAGUUGAUAUUUGGAAAAGAUUGAUAUGUAGGCCUAAUAUUUCUACUUGAUGUUGAGGUAUUCUCUUUACGAGAUGUUGAAUAUUUGAAGUGAAGUGCAUGUAACGUUAAAUCUGUCAAGAACGACAUUAAAACAAAAAAUUUAUCUGCAACAACUUUUUAAUUUUUCACCAAAGAAAGCAGACGAUAUAUAGAACUUCUCUAUCCGCUGGACUGUAAAAAUCGGAUAUAGACCUGAUGUAUAUUGACAAUAUUCAGAAAUAUUGUGCAAA